rnacentral:sRNA from 1 species
GUACACCAUCAAAGCUUUGAGAAGCAAUAAGAAC